rnacentral:rRNA from 1 species
UACGUAGGGUGCAAGCGUUACUCGGAAUUACUGGGCGUAAAGCGUGCGCAGGCGGCUUUGCAAGACAGAUGUGAAAUCCCCGGGCUUAACCUGGGAACUGCAUUUGUGACUGCAUGGCUGGAGUGCGGCAGAGGGGGAUGGAAUUCCGCGUGUAGCAGUGAAAUGCGUAGAUAUGCGGAGGAACACCGAUGGCGAAGGCAAUCCCCUGGGCCUGCACUGACGCUCACGCACGAAAGCGUGGGGAGCAAACAGG